UGCAACCAAACACACCCGAUAGUUUAGGUGGCGGCGGCGGAUGAGAGUUCACGUCCGUGGAGGCGCGGGCGAAGCUGGCGGUUCCCUCUCACCCCUCUACCUCUCUUUCCCGCCGGUCUAGUCUAGUCUCUAUCUUCCGCUGUGCUCGGGGCGGGUGGCGGCGAACGUAAAUAUGUCUCUGCUCGGGGAAGAUGUGUCCCGUCUCUCCGAGGAGGGGGAGGGGAGCGAGUGACGGCGGCUCAUGGAUGGUGUGCGCUGGCACCAACGGUGAGCGACGGCUGCUUGGCUCCGGGGAGGCGGACGACGACUCAAAACGACGAGUGCAAAGGAGGCAAUCGGAAACAUCAAUUCGACGACCAUGAAAGACUGUUUGUGGUAUUUCAAAGGUUAAGCGGCCUUUUUUUGCUGUCAUUUGUAAAAAAACUCCCUAUGAAGAGUAAACAUGGCUUAGGUAACCGUGUGUAGCCAUCAGGUGUCACCGGCUUGGAACUAAAGUGCGCCUUGAAUCUUCAAUGCUCCAUGCCCCAGUCUUCUGUGUGACUACUUGGACUUGUGCCGGUCAGUCCUAAGGGAUGCCAUUAUGAAAGAUGAGACCGGUUCGCCACUAAGGUGUGUGCCACCUCCCUUCUCCUCUUGUUCUCCUGUUCCAACAUGUUUUGUUUGAACUUUGAAGUUGUUGCGCUUCGGCAAGGAGUACGAACUGGUCCGGCCACUUAGCUGGUCUGAUUAUUCACGGGUGUGUUGCCGUUGAGCAAUUCACUUCCCCUGCCCCCUUGCAUUCUCAAAUAAACGGAACCAGAAGUAGAAAUCAUAAAUUGCAGUGGGUUGAAAAUUUUCACAUCACAUAACCAAGUAAAAUUCAGUAGAUAGAGAGACAAGAAAUGGCACGUGUAGCUUUUGGUUGCAUAAGUGUAUUCAACAAUCACAGAACGUAUUUUACUUGCAUGUUCUUUGUCAUCCAAUAUAAGUUAUUAAAGGGAACAUUAUUGUAUCUUCUCUUCUUUCAUGAGCAUGAAUAAUACUUCUACUUCAGAAAUAAAGUGAUUCAGGAGAAAAUAUAUGAUGGGGACAUGGCAUAAGAAACUUUUAAGCACAUUUGGGUGGGCUUAGUAUAUGACUACGAGUCCUGGUUUCUGAAAAAUCUUAACCCAGUUUCCGAAAACAAAGUUUUUGUACCUGUAUUCAUGUUUCACCGAAAGAUUUUCCGAAAGUGGGAAUGUUCAAAUAUGCCAAUUAUUUGCUUAAUGGAAUGCCCACUAUCAGUGGCGGAGCUACACUAUCAAAGGUGGGCGGGCCAAUACAAAGGAAAUCCACUAUUUUUUCUUUCACAGCUCAGUCUACUCUGAAUCCUGCACUGCAUUUGUUACUGGCUGAGCGGGCCUUGGCCUAGUUUUGUCACACGUAGCUCCGCCAGUGCCUACUAUAUAUGUUUAGAAAUAUAACAGUUACAUAGGUUUUACUCUACUGGUUUGGCUCUGCUUCUCCUGUUUGCAAAGAGGACUUUCUUCUCUGUGAUAUCUUCCAGUUCUUAUCUAAUGAUGGCUGUUAUUUGCCCUUGAUGAUGUUCUCUCUUGGUUUAAUUCUGCCAAUAGCCUUGCUAGCUCUAAGGACGAACAUAAAUGUCUAAUGACGUUGACAUUCUUGACAGUGAAAAACAUAUCAUGUUUUUCUAUUCCCAAGGGGCGUUACUAUUGAUAAAGUAUGAAACCUUUGUCCAUUUUAGGGGAGAGCAUUUUAAAAGAAGGUUGUAAUGGAGGUGUAAUGUUCGUCCAAGCUAUUUUGCUCAUGCUGUUUGUGACUAAAUUCAUGAAGUCCACUUCCCUGCUUCUCUAUUGUUAUCUUUGAUACAUUAUAAUCACAUAAAAGAACUUGCAUUGUUACUGGGAUGUGCAUUGGUUUACAUAGCGUUCAAUUGGUUCAUCAUACACUCAUGGUACAAUGUAAACCAAUGCGGUGGCGGUGGCGGCCUACAGCAGUUGCGCGUUCAGCUCCGUCCAUGGAGGCGCAACCGUCGGCCGGCCCAUGGCCUGAUAGCUCGGGGGUGGCGGUUCCUCCACGGCUCCCACGUCACGACGAUGGUGACCCUGCACCAGCAGUGCGGCACGGCUCCCCACAUCUGUGUUGGAUCUUCAAGCUUUCAUCUCUGAGAAACUUCAACUAGCCAUAUGAGGAUGCUUGCUCCGCCGUGUGGAGGAGGGACUCUAGGUGUGGCUUCAGAUCCAAUAGAUUCCACCUCGGCCACCUAUUUGACGUCAGCAUCCCCACCCAUUCCUUGACUUCUUCUGUUACAAGGUGAGUACUGUCCAACAAUUAUGUUUAUUUGCUGAUUCAUAACCUGUUUCCUUAGAAAUUUAUAAUUAUUUGAGCAUUGCUAUGCACACGAUGCACAGUAGACGAUUUGUGCCCGACACAGCAUAUCAGUGCGUCCAUGCUUAUCAUGGAAGUGGAGCAGACGGCUGGAUUAGCAUCGUGCAGCCGUCGUGCAGCCAGUUUAUCGUCCGCACAGCAGUUCUGUAAUUAUUUAUAUACACUCUUUCGUUGGCUUUAUUUAUAUUAACUGAGUUUUCUGCUUAUUUAGAUAUUGCUAUGUGGCUUUUUACAAUUUUAAUAGUUAACCAACCUAAUUUCUAUGUGGCUUUUUACAAUUUUUCAGACAUUGUAUGACAUGAAAUUUUGUCCUAAUUUCUAUGGUUGUGUUGCUCAUGCAAUUCCCAAGUUUCCGAGGACCUGUGGUGC